UUUUUUUUUAAUUUUUUUUCCAGAGUCUAAUGGGAAGCCACUGGAGGCUUGAAAACACAGAAAUGACAUGAUUUUAUUUGUGUUGGUAAAAGAUCAUUUGGGCUGCUAAGCAGAGAAUUUAUUAAAUGAGGAAAAGAGAGAAUAGCAGGGAGACCGGUUAGAAGCAGGUACGGUUGUCUGGAUGGCCUGAAAUGGAAUGGCAGCCAUGGGAAAGGAUAUAAAUGAAUAAAGGACAUCGUUAAGGACUUGCAAUUGGACAGGUUUGGAGGAGAUGAAAAGCAUCAAGGAGACUCUGAAGAUUUUACUUAGGAGCGGGAGGGAUGAGGAUACUAUUUACUAAAACAGGAGGAAAGGGAUCCAGCUGUUUACAUAUCAUCACCCCAAGAGCUCUUUGCACAGCUAUGUAGGAGGCCUUCUUCUCCAAUCUUUUGUCAGAUGAGAGCAAUGGGAUUCAUAAAUAAAAGGAGGAGGUUGAUGGGGGAAGAGGGAAGGAAGAAGGGAGGGAGGGAGAGAGGGAAGUUCAGAGAGGAAGAAAGACUUUCCUAAAACAAUUAACUAGAUACUUAGAGAAAGGGUCUAGAAUUAGUUUUUUUUUGUUUUGUUUUGUUUUUUUUUUUUUUUUUUUAGAAUUAGUUAUCUAAUCAGUGCAUCUUCCCACUGUACAGCAUAGUUAACGGUCAAUCAUUAGAAGUUGAGUUUUAAUUAGUUAUUUUAAACCUCCUCAAAGAAUGUUUCCUUCUGAGUAAAAGAGAAACAGUGAAGAUGAUCACAAGCAAAAGUUUUGUUCUUAGUAAUUACAGAAUUUAAACAGUGGGAUGAUUACAUCUUUUUAAGGGUCUCUAAAUUUAGGUCAAAUUAAUUUUGAUUUUAUGGUUGUUAAAUAUCACUUACUAUAUAUGUUAUUUUUUAAGUUGAUUGAAAACCACAUUCAAUAGAGGAAGAGUAUGAUUUAGUAGAACUGUCCCAGAGGCCCUACUUCUUUUAUUUCUAGCUUUGACAUUAAACAAAGAAUUGUAUGAAAAUUCCUUAAAUCCUCUCCAAUUUCCUCCUCAUCAAAGCAUUAUUACUUUUACUAACCAUAUUAUGAAAAUCAAAUAAGCAAACUGUUGGGGAAAAAAGUUUUUAUAUACUUAAAAAAGGGAAUCUAUUAUGAAUUCUUCCCAACAUUUAGAAUUUUAAUAUACCAGUCUAUUACGAAGAAAGAAAGAAAGAAUCCAAAAUAACCCAAUAUAUUAGGACUGUUUACCAGUAGAAUCCUUUUGCUGCCACCUCUCUAAGUCACAUUCAGCAGCAUGUAGUACUUAACAGAAUUUUGCCAAAUCAGUCAUCAAAUAUAAAAACUCACAACAUAGUAAGAAAACAAGUAUUCUAGGAGGAUCUUAGUUACCAAGACAAUAAUCACUGAUAAUUAUUUUCAUCUCCCAUGCAUUUGCUUUAUAUUCAGUGGUUGGUCACUGUUAGUACCUUCCACUUGGUGAGACCCUUCCUGGCACACUGUACUCACACACGCACGCGCCCACUCACACCCACCCCAGGAUACCUUUCUCUCACUCUGAGCAAUGUUCCUUUACCCACAUGGGAACAUUGAUUGGGCCUGUUUCGGUUCUAGGGCAGUGCAAGAUUAAAGGGGUACUAUCUGAAUAAUCAUUGGGUGAUGUGGUCUGAAUUUUAUAUUCCUCAGCAGAAACAAGCCACAAACAUCAAAACUGCCUGGAGAUAUAGAUAUAUAGAUAGAUAGAUUUUAUAUAUAUGCAUAUAUAGAUUUUAUAUAUACAUAUAUAAUAUAUAUAGAUCUGUAUAAAGAUACACAUCUAUAUAUAGAUAUAGAUAUAGAUAUAGAUUUACCAAUAGUCUUCUGUUAGACCUUAAAGUUGUGCUGUAUAUAGAUGAGGAUGGUAGGUCUAAAUACAGAAAAAAACAGACCCUUUCUCUUGUACUUGUGGAAAACUGAUUUAACUGAUUUGGAAAUGCUUAAAGGCAGGUUGAGGAAACUCUGCUGAAUGUCUAAAUAAACUUUCUGAUUGUUCAACAAUUUAAUUAAUGUUUCUGAGAAAUUUGCAGCCAAAAGACCUUUGGAUUUCAGUGCAAGCAAAAUUUAGUUAGACAUUCCACCAGAGUCAUCAUUCUUAAAAUUCAAAUUAAAAAAGAAAUGUUCCAAAGCAUAAAAUUCCAAAUACAUUUUCUUUCCACUCAAAAAAAAAAAUCUUUCUUCCUCAGAUGUCACCAAUUCUGUUAAAAACAUGAGCAUUUUUAUUUCCCUACAUUCCUCCACUUGGCUCAGUGAGGCCACCCUCACAUGGACACUGUGUUGGUCUCCCAAAUUUCCUGGGCCUAUGAUUGCUUCUUUCACAGCCACUAAAUCAUGCAUAGUUUCUUUGCAUAUUACAAUCCAAAUUACAAUUUGGUUGUUACAUUACACUAAAUAUUCUUUCAGUGUUUACCUAUUGAUUACAAAAUACUCUUAAAGUCCUUAAUCCCACUCUCCAGGUUAGGACCACCUCUUGGGUAUGUGGGGUCAUGGGCAAGUAUUUUUUUUCUGCAGAGUUCCUGUCUACAUAAACAGUUUCACUAAAAAUAUAUUAAGCAUCCAUACGCCCAUGUGAGUUAUACUUAUUUGCUAACUGAUUUAAAAUCAUAGGUAGAGGGAUCCCUGGAUGGCUCAGCAGUUUGGCACCUGCCUUUGGUCCAGGGUGUGAUCCUGGAGUCCUGGGAUCGAGUCCUGUGUUGGGCUUCUGGCAUGGAGCCUGCUUCUCCCUCUGCCUGUGUCUCUGGGUCUCUGCCCCUUUCUCUCUCUCUCUCUCUCUCUCUGUGUGUGUGUGUGUGUGUGUCUCGUGAAUAAAUAAAUAAAAUCUUUAAAAAAAAAUCAUAGGUAGAGAAGAUGGACUCACCUAUUUGUUUAUUACCCAAUCAGAGCACGUUAAGAUUUUUCCUAGUGUCCAGGUUCCUCUGCCUGUUCAGGUCUAGUAACCAUCCUAUCAUUAUCUUUUGAUGGUGAUAAUAAUUCAUUUUGUGCCGAUGGGAUUUAUUCUCCAUGUCUUAUUUUUAUUCUUGACAUACCAGAAAGUGUUGUCAGUUCCUGACCUAAUUUGAGUUCAAAAUAAUUGUUUUUAUUUUUCCCCAACAAGGCAAAAAAGUAGCAAUGCUGUUAUCACUCACAAUGCCACAUGAUAUUUUUGCAGCAAUACAACAUAGAUCUUCUUGCCUCUGCAGUAUCCUAAUAUUAUUUGCAUAAUGCUGGUUACAUCACUAAAAAUGCUCUGUCAACCAGUGAGCAGCCCAGGAAGACUGGUUUUCAGGGACUCCCUCAGAGGCUGUGACUAUGCUUCAUGAUGAUGAACAUACUGCAAGUCUUAUCCAGAGUUUGCAGAAAAUAUUAAUGACAAUUUAUCUUCUGGGGUAUGCUAAAUUUACUGUUUAGAAUUUUAUCACAUAGAUAAAGCAUAACAAAUCCCUCAUCCAUUUUUUUUCUCUUAAGUUCUGUAGGUUACAUCAUGUCAUUCCUCGAGCAUGCUUUCUCAGCAUUGACUACACCUCUGCUUCCCAUACACCCUACCACCAUGAAAAACAGAAGAGGGGUCUGUUGGCAAAGUGGAAAAGGUCCCCCUUUUAGGUAAGAAAUGUCUGUCUCUCAUCCAAUAUGGCUCAUGACCAGCCUGAAAGGGCAUAAUAUCACCUUAUUUACUGAAGGCAAGUGAGAACAUGAAUCAGAAGGACUGAACAGCCUUUACUAAUAUGCACGUUCUGAUAAAUACAACUUUAGAUCUCGUUCCUGCAAUUAGGAUGAACUAAUCCCCAAAGAAAAUCCCUUGUUGAAUGCCUGUGGAAUACAUAAACAAAAUACAAAGGAUAGAAUUCAGUCUAUUAUUCUUGAUUUCAUAUUUUCAUCAAAACUAUCAAAUCCAGUUGUUUUCCAAAGAUACACAUCUACUAAUAUGAUAGUGAUGAAUUAUGAUGAGACCAUUUUUAUCCACUUACCUAGAAUGCAUACAGUCGGGCUUCUGUAGACUUGUUUUUCCCAGGACCACACAGACUUCUACUUAAA
rnacentral:lncRNA from 1 species